CGGGACACGUGGUAUCCUGUCUGAAUAUGGGGGGACCAUCCUCCAAGGCUAAAUACUCCUGACUGACCGAUAGUGAACCAGUACCGUGAGGGAAAGGCGAAAAGAACCCCGGCGAGGGGAGUGAAAAAGAACCUGAAACCGUGUACGUACAAGCAGUGGGAGCCUCUUUAUGGGGUGACUGCGUACCUUUUGUAUAAUGGGUCAGCGACUUAUAUUCUGUAGCAAGGUUAACCGAAUAGGGGAGCCGAAGGGAAACCGAGUCUUAACUGGGCGUUAAGUUGCAGGGUAUAGACCCGAAACCCGGUGAUCUAGCCAUGGGCAGGUUGAAGGUUGGGUAACACUAACUGGAGGACCGAACCGACUAAUGUUGAAAAAUUAGCGGAUGACUUGUGGCUGGGGGUGAAAGGCCAAUCAAACCGGGAGAUAGCUGGUUCUCCCCGAAAGCUAUUUAGGUAGCGCCUCGUGAAUUCAUCUCCGGGGGUAGAGCACUGUUUCGGCAAGGGGGUCAUCCCGACUUACCAACCCGAUGCAAACUGCGAAUACCGGAGAAUGUUAUCACGGGAGACACACGGCGGGUGCUAACGUCCGUCGUGAAGAGGGAAACAACCCAGACCGCCAGCUAAGGUCCCAAAGUCAUGGUUAAGUGGGAAACGAUGUGGGAAGGCCCAGACAGCCAGGAUGUUGGCUUAGAAGCAGCCAUCAUUUAAAGAAAGCGUAAUAGCUCACUGGUCGAGUCGGCCUGCGCGGAAGAUGUAACGGGGCUAAACCAUGCACCGAAGCUGCGGCAGCGACACUAUGUGUUGUUGGGUAGGGGAGCGUUCUGUAAGCCUGUGAAGGUGUGCU
rnacentral:rRNA from 1 species